GUUUUCUGAGGCCUGUGUUUGAGUGACUAUUGAGAGCGGGCACAUGGGGCAUAUGUUCUGCACCGUUUUCCUUAUGGUGGGUCUGAGUCACCUGGAACCAGCCAUGAUCUCUGGUACACUGAGCUUGUGCUCAGUGAUGGGAACUGGUCGGAUGUGGGAUUAACACAAUUAAUUGGCCUGCAUAGAGAUUCAAUUAUUAACCUUAAAUUCAACACAUUUUUAUUGGAUUUCUUUUUCUUUGUUUUUUUGAGACGGAGUUUUGCUCUUGUUGCCCAGGACGGAGUGCAAUAGUGCGAUCUUGGCUCACUGCAACUUCCACCUCCCAGGUUCAAGUGAUUCUUCUGCCUCAGCCUCCCAGCUAUUCGGGAGGCUGAGGCAGGAAAAUCGCUUGAACCCGGGAGGCGGAGGUUGCAGUGAGCUGAGAGCGUGCCAUUGCACUCCAGCCUGGGCAACAAGAGCGAAACUCAGUCUAAAAAAAAAAAAAGAUAAAAAGAUAAAAAGACAGCCAUUACUGGCACAACAUAAAUGGUAAUAAUCACUAUCAUUUAUUGAGCACUUACUGGGUGCUAGGUACUGUUCCAAGGAAUUUAAUGUUUAAUCUACCAACAAGUAUGGAAGAGACCAAAUUCAUUUCUUUUUCCUCCUAGACACAGAGACUUCAUUUCUCAGCCUGCUUUGACAUAAGUGGGUCCGGGGUAUUGUGCAAAGUGUAUUGCCUUUAGGUCUGAUCCAUAACCCCUCCCCUCAUCCACCCAGCUCUUCUCCAGAUGAUCUUCCUCUAUCUGGCAGUUAGCAGAACCACAAAAUGGAAGGAACAUGAACUGAAUUUCCAUGUGGAAGGUUGCCCAUUGAAUACUCAUUUGGACUAUUUUACACGUGGAGUCAACCUUUAUUAUACUAAGCCAGGAAGAUUCAAGGGUUCAUCUGUUAAAGCAGCUAGAGUCCCUACCUAAUUGCACAAGCCCACAAGUAGUGCUAUUACUAUUGUCAUUUUCAAAUAAGGCUUUUCAAGCAGAGAGUAGCUUUCCCAAGGCCUCAACGAGUAAGUACCAGAGUCAAGAUUCAAAUCCAAGCCAUUUGGUGCCAAAGCCUAUGCUGGUAGCCACUAGUUCUCUCCUAUAAGGAGUAGUGGGGAUGAAUGAGAUAAUGCAUACACAGUGUUAGCAUAGUGAAGGAAGCAUGGCCACUGUUAAAUAAAGUCAACUCAAUGUACUUGUUCAUGAUUAUUAUGAAUGUCCUGAGGUCCUUCGUAGACUCUUCUUCCAGUCCCAUCCUGAUGCCCCAACCCUCAAUGUGGGGGCACAUUUCUGUCACCUGAAGAAAAGGAGCCAUGAAAAAAUAGGCAAAUUUGUAUUCUAAUAAACCCUAACUCACACCUAUUAUGUGUCUCUGACCAACUAUAGGGAAUAAAAUAUUUGCUACCUUU
rnacentral:lncRNA from 10 species